GUGAGUAACGCGUGAGCAACCUGCCUAUGACAGUGGGAUAGCCUCGGGAAACCGGGAUUAAUACCGCAUAAAAUCGUAGAAACACAUGUUUUAACGGUCAAAGAUUUAUCGGUCAUAGAUGGGCUCGCGUCUGAUUAGCUAGUUGGUGAGAUAACAGCCCACCAAGGCGACGAUCAGUAGCCGGUCUGAGAGGAUGAACGGCCACAUUGGAACUGAGACACGGUCCAA
rnacentral:rRNA from 1 species